rfam:Homo sapiens chromosome 22, GRCh38 reference primary assembly.
GCUGGAUGUGGUGGUGCGCACCUGUAGUCCCAGCUACUUGGGAGGCUGAUGUGGGAGGAUCGCUUGAGCCCAGGAGUUUGAGGGUGCAGUGAGUGUGAUGACACCACUGCACUCCAGCCUGAGCAACAGAGGGAGACCCUGUCUCUA